GAGGCAAUAACAGGUCUGUGAUGCCCUUAGAUGUUCUGGGCCGCACACGCGCUACACUGAAAGGGUCAGCGUGUUCUCCUGGCUCGAAAGAGCUGGGUAACCCGCGAAUCCCUUUCGUGCUGGGGAUUGAGGUUUGCAAUUGUCCUUCAUGAACGAGGAAUUCCCAGUAAGUGCAAGUCAUAAGCUUGCGCUGACUACGUCCCUGCCCUUUGUACACACCGCCCGUCGCUACUACCGAUUGAAUGAUUUAGUGAGGUCUUCGGACUGGGACCGAUGCAGCUUUCGGGCUGCGUUGGUAUUCCGGAAAGAUGCCCAAACUGAAUCAUUUAGAGGAAGUAAAAGUCGUAACAAGGUUUCCGUAGGUGAACCUGCGGA
rnacentral:rRNA from 1 species